AUUGGUUAGAGUUUCUGUUGCUGUGAUGAAACACAGUGGCCAAAAGCAACUUGAGGAGGAAAAUGUUUAUUCCCUCCAUAUAACAGUUUAUUAUCAAAAAGCAGUCAGGAUGGAAACUCAAGCAGGGCAGGAACCUGGAGGCAGGAACCUGGAGGCAGUGGCUGAUGCAGAGGCUGUGGAAAGGCUGCUUACUGCCCUACUCCUCAUGUUGCUCAGUUUGCUUUCUCUUUUUCUUUUAUUUUUUUAUUAGAUAUUUUCUUCAUCUGCAUUUCAAAUGCUAUCCCAAAAGUCCCCCAUACCCUCCCCCCACCCUGCUCCCUUACCCACCCAUUCCCACUUCUUGGACCUGGCAUUCCCCUGUACUGGGGCAUAUAAAGUUUGCUAGACCAAGGGGCCUCUCCUCCCAAUGAUGGCUGAAUAGGCCAUCUUGUGCUACACAUGCUGCUAGAGAUACGAGCUCUGGGGGUACUGGUUAGCUCAUAUUGUUGUUCCACCUAUAGGGUUGCAGACCCCUUCAGCUCUUAGGUACUUUCUCUAGCUCCUCCAUUGGGGACCCCGUGUUCCAUUCUAUAGAUGACUGUGAGCAUCCACUUCUGUAUUUGCCAGGCACUGGCAAAGCCUCACACGAGACAGCUAUAUCAGGGUCCUUUCAGUUUGCUUUCUUAUACGAUGAUGCAGGACCACCAGUGCAGGAGUGCACCACCCGUAAUGGGCUGGGUCCUCCCACGCCCAUCACUAAAAAAAUGCCGUACAGGGCUGCCAACAGCCUGGUCUGUUGGAGUUGCUUUCUUAAUCCAGGUUCUCUCCUCUCUAGGUGACUGCAGCUUAUUUCAAGUUGUUGUAAAAUUAGCAGCACAUCAAACUUUGGUUUUCUUACCAGUAAACAGCCUUAUUCAUAGAAUAUAUGUGGGGCUUGAGAGAGUUUCCUUUUGGUAGCCCGAGGUCACACUGUAGAGCAUGGCUGAUGACCUUGGGAGACCUGGCUGUUCACUACCUCCCCGAUCUCUCAUCCAGUCCUUCCUUGAACUCAUUCCCUAGCUUUUCUCUGAUCUCUCCCAGACUUGUUCUUGCCGAGGUCCUUAGUAAUUGCCACUUCGCUAGACGCAGUGGUUAAUUCCAGCCUCCAUAUCGCAUGUGCAGGGUUUUUUAUUGACUGGCUGCACAUUUGGGCUUGUCUUGGUAAGUCCUUCAUCUCCUCAGUUCUAGGCAUUGGGGUGUUGCAAGGCUUAGCUCUGGUUCUUUCACUCCCCGGGGAUCUCAUGUAUCCUCGAGUCUUAAAAACAGUUUGCUGAUGACUCCCAGGUUUUUGUGUUCUGUACGGGCCCACCACUGGAUUCUCAAGUGGCUGCAUAGCUGUUUAGCUGACACGUAUAUGAGGACACCUGUCUUUCUACCUCUAUAACAAAAAUAUCGCAGAGUGGGGAAAUUAGAGACAUGCUAAGUUUAGUUGGUUCCCAGUCUCAGAGGCUAGGACCCCACCAGAGGCCGCAUCUGGGGUGAGAGCUUUGUUACUGUGUUCUGGGGCAGUGGAGGGAAGGAGAAGUGGCCAGACAGGGGGGCAGGAUAAGAGCUGAACCCUUCCAUUUCUCAGGAGCCUGUGCCUGAGGAAAUGGAAUCAAUCUAUUGCUGAGGGCAAAGCCUUUGUGGCCCUUAGCCCCUUUAAAAGGCUUUGCCACUUAAUACGGCUAUACCAGAAACUAGAUUUCAGUUGUGUUAGAGGACGCAUUAAACCAUGGCAACCUGUAACAUAUCUUAGAGGUAUGUGUGAAACAGAGCUCUGGGCCCCUCUCUCCCCUUAAAGUAUGUUUUACCGUGAUCUGCCCUCUUCUCAGGAAGUUGUUUUCUUAGUUCCUCAGUCCAAAAAGCUCUGAGGUCAUCCUUGGCUCCUUUUUCUCAUACUCCAUAGUCCAUAAUCUAACUCACCGUUAAAUCCUGGUUUCUACUAUGUCCCAGUGGAUCUGAGCUUUGGGUCUCUCUCUCCUGUCCUUGUCCCUCAGUUCUUCACACUGCAUUCUGAUGAUUAAAACCAGGCAGAUCUGCAUCCAUCUCUGCUCAAAGCCUGCCUCCUUCCCCAAGUAGUAGAAUCAGGGUUUCUAUGGAGAAACGUAUGAUCUGGCCAGCCUGCCCUGCCGUGCUCUCCCUCACUUGCUCACUUGCUUGGCCUCCCUGCUCAUUUCAGCACGGGGCGUUCUCAUUUGGGAGACCUGUCUGCUCUGUCUGCCUUGGAUUGUCUUCACCAGAUAGCUUCAUCACCUGAUCUCCGUCCAGAAGUCUCCUCCUCGGCGAGCCCUUCCCUGACCAUGCUGGCUGUUGCUUUCUGCCUGACUCUUCUCUGUAGCACUUAUCGCUCUCAUUAUUUGCUGCUCCCCUCCCCCACACCACCCCACCCCCUAUGAGAAUGCAUUCUAUGAAGGCAGAGCUUUUUAUCUGUUAGGUCACUGCUGCAGCCCCAGAGCUUCAAGCAUCACCUAACACAUGUUGGCCCUCAGAAACACGAACAGGGCAUAAAGGAAGGAACAAUUAGCACCUGCUACAGUGGCCAUAUUGCGCUGGUGGGUUUCUCUUGCCAGGCAGGGCCUGGUAUAGUUUAGAAAGAUGAAGGGCUGGGAUCAACUUACUAAAUAGUUUAAUAUGCCAUGCUAGAUGGUCGGAGAGAUGGCUCAGAGGUUAAGAGAAUUCUUGCAGAGGGAUCGAUCAGGUUCAAUCCCCAUACCUUGAUGGUAGCUCAUAACUGUUCAUAACUCCAGUUUCAAGGCAGUAGACAGUCUUAUUUUUACCUCUGCAGACAAUAAGCACAUGUGCACAAACAUGUGCAGCCCAAACACUCAUACACAUAAGGCAAUUACUUUAUAAAC
rnacentral:lncRNA from 1 species